rnacentral:rRNA from 1 species
UUCCGGUUGAUCCUGCCGGAGGCUACCGCUAUUGGAAUCCGAUUAAGCCAUGCGAGUCGAGAGAUUUCGGAUCUCGGCAGACGUCUCAGUAACACGCGGAUAAUCUGCCCUUGAGUGGAGGAUAAUCUCGGAAACCUGAGCAUAAUACUCCAUAGGCCUAGGAUGCUGGAAUGCUUCUAGGCUCAAAGCUCCGGCGCUCAAGGAUGAAUCUGCGGCCUAUCAGGCUGUAGUGGGUGUAACGGACCCACUAACCUUUGACGGGUAUGGGCCUUGAGAGAGGUUGCCCAGAGUUGGACUCUGAGACACGAGUCCAGGCCCUACGGGGUGCAGCAGGCGCGAAAACUUCACAAUGUGGGAAACCGCGAUGAGGGGAUUCCAAGUGCUAACACAAUGCGUUAGCUGUUCACCUGCCUAAAAAGCUGGUGAAGUAAGGGCCGGGUAAGACGGGUGCCAGCCGCCGCGGUAAUACCCGCGGCCCGAGUGGUGGUCGUUAUUAUUGAGCCUAAAGCGUCCGUAGCCGGUUUGGUAAAUUUCUGGGUAAAUCGGGCGGCUUAACUGUCCGAAUUCCGGAAAGACUGCCAAACUUGGGACCGGGGGAGGUUGGAGGUACUCCUGGGGUAGGGGUGAAAUCCUGUAAUCCUGGGGGGACCACCAGUGGCGAAGGCGUCCAACCAAAACGGAUCCGACGGUAAGGGACGAAGCCCUGGGGCGCAAACGGGAUUAGAUACCCCGGUAGUCCAGGGUGUAAACGCUGCAGGCUUGGUGUUGGGGGUCCUACGAGGGCGCCCAGUGCCGGAGAGAAGUUGUUAAGCCUGCCGCUUGGGGAGUACGUCCGCAAGGAUGAAACUUAAAGGAAUUGGCGGGGGAGCACAGCAACGGGUGGAGCGUGCGGUUCAAUUGGAUUCAACGCCGGG